UACGUAGGGUGCGAGCGUUGUCCGGAAUUACUGGGCGUAAAGAGCGUGUAGGCGGUCCGGUAAGUCCGCUGUGAAAGUCGGGGGCUCAACCCUCGAAUGCCGGUGGAUACUGUCGGGCUAGAGUGCGGAAGAGGCGAGUGGAAUUCCUGGUGUAGCGGUGAAAUGCGCAGAUAUCAGGAGGAACACCUAUUGCGAAGGCAGCUCGCUGGGACGUAACUGACGCUGAGACGCGAAAGCGUGGGGAGCAAACAGG
rnacentral:rRNA from 1 species